UCCGGGGGGGGCAAGCGUUGUUCGGAAUUACUGGGCGUAAAGGGCUCGUAGGCGGCCAACUAAGUCAGACGUGAAAUCCCUCGGCUUAACCGGGGAACUGCGUCUGAUACUGGAUGGCUUGAGAUUGGGAGAGGGAUGCGGAAUUCCAGGUGUAGCGGUGAAAUGCGUAGAUAUCUGGAGGAACACCGGUGGCGAAGGCGGCAUCCUGGACCAACACUGACGCUGAGUGAGCGAAAGCCAGGGGAGCAAACGGG
rnacentral:rRNA from 1 species